UACAGAGGUCCCAAGCGUUGUUCGGAUUCACUGGGCGUAAAGGGUGCGUAGGCGGUCAGGUAAGUCUGAUGUGAAAUCUCUGGGCUUAACCCAGAAAUGGCAUUGGAUACUAUUUGGCUUGAGAGUUGGAGGGGGGACUGGAAUUCUUGGUGUAGCAGUGAAUGCGUAGAUAUCAAGAGGAACACCAGUGGCGAAGGCGAGUCCCUGGACAACUUCUGACGCUGAGGCACGAAAGCUAGGGGAGCAAACAGG
rnacentral:rRNA from 1 species